UACGGAGGAUGCAAGCGUUAUCCGGAAUGAUUGGGCGUAAAGCGUCCGCAGGUGGCUAUGUAAGUCUGCUGUUAAAGAGUGAGGCUCAACCUCAUAAGAGCAGUGGAAACUACAUGGCUAGAGUGCGUUCGGGGCAGAGGGAAUUCCUGGUGUAGCGGUGAAAUGCGUAGAUAUCUGGAGGAAUACCGGUGGCGAAGGCGGCAUCCUGGACCAUAACUGACGCUGAGGCGCGAAAGCUAGGGGAGCAAACGGG
rnacentral:rRNA from 1 species